rnacentral:misc_RNA from 1 species
AAUUCUCAACCCUCCUCACUUUUGUGAUGGCUGGGCUUGGACUUGGAGGCUUUGCCGGACGCUCGUCGCUCGGCUCCUCUCAAAUGCAUUAGUACGUCUUGUUGCGAUGUGCCCUCGGUGUGAUAAUUAUCUACGCUGUGGUGCGCUUGCUUCUGGUGAGACGCGCUUUCAAACCGUCCGAAAGGACACUUCAUCGAA